rnacentral:tRNA from 2 species
UCGGCUGUAGUUCAGCGGUAGAACGCCCGGCUCGGGACCGGGUGGACGCCGGUUCGAGCCCGGCCGGCCGGA